UACUUUUCAUUCUGGUCCAUAAACUAAACCCUUGUUUUUUUUAGUCACUCAAAAGAACCAAGCACCAUUCUCCAUCUUCGAACUUAAGACCAAAAAGAAAUCUGAAUAAGUACUCCUUCUCCUGAUAUUCGAAAAUUAGGGCAAUACUAAACUACCAUCAUCUUCUACCUUGAGUUCUCACAAGAUCCAUUGCAAGCUCUCCUCUCUUACCGCCAUUUUCGGAUGAACCAAGACACUCCAUGAAUGUUCUAUUCUUCUUGAUUGAUUAUUGGUGUGAACAAAAUUAAGGUGUAACGAAUUUUCUCCCAUCUUUUGCGGUCUUGGUUUCAUAUAAGGGUUUGGAGGGGGUCAAAAAUUCACGGGUGUUACAUUAAGGAGAAAUUAUAAAGCAGCAGCCGAAAACCCCCUCCCAUGACCUGAAUUCUGCCGAAAUGGGGGAAAAUUGAGUGAGGUUUGGUCCUGUUGAUUAAGCAUCAAGAUUCAAGCCGGAAAUCAAUUUUUGAAUCUGAUUUUUUUGUUCGUUCCUUGCUGCUGUCAAACAGAAGAUUGUUUACAGGUCGAAACCGGUCGGGAACGAUGGGUUAGCGGUGAUGAUUAGAGUUACAUGGAUGUUAUAUUGAGCUGAGUACGUGAGAAGUUGUAGUAUUGUAUUAGGUUUUUGGUAAAUGUAUAAUAGACUUGGUUGUGUUGGUUAUAUUGGACUUUUAGAAUGACUUUUAUGAUUACUUUGUAUUUUAGUUAGAUGUUUGGUUUGAGAAUUAGCUGAGUUGGUUACGUUAAAGAACUAGUAACUACUUUGCUCAAGUUUUGAAAUUAUGAUUUGAAUUUCUUGGGAAACAGAUCCGUGAUGACUAGUUACUUAGUCAACGGUAAGUCGGGUUGUUACGGUUACUCUUAUGCUACACUUAUUUACCCUAUAAACAAAAUAAAUAAGCCUAGCUAACGUGCUGCUAGUGUAAAUUACAUAUUACGGAUCUCUAAACCAUCACUUAAAGUUUUUGGUUGAAUUAAUUUCUUGACAUAGUAUAUUAGUAUUAGAUCGUUAACGUGACAGAAUCACAUAAUGAUCAUGGUCUGGUACAAAUUUUGCUAUCUCUCAUUUCAUGUGGAAUAUUAAAUUCGUCUGGGUACGAUGAGAACAUUUAUUGUUACUUCCGCACUUCUAACCCACAUGACUUUUGUGUGACAAUAUGAAGAGACGUAAUAGACUACAUAUAGCAUAUAUUGAUUUUAAACUGUCAAAUAAACUUUUUAAUUAAAUUGAUUACUUCAUAUGUGGUCCUAAA